rnacentral:rRNA from 1 species
AAAUUGAAGAGUUUGAUCAUGGCUCAGAUUGAACGCUGGCGGCAGGCCUAACACAUGCAAGUCGAACGGUAACAGGAAACAGCUUGCUGUUUCGCUGACGAGUGGCGGACGGGUGAGUAAUGUCUGGGAAACUGCCUGAUGGGGGGGGAUAACUACUGGAAACGGUAGCUAAUACCGCAUAACGUCGCAAGACCAAAGAGGGGGACCUUCGGGCCUCUUGCCAUCGGAUGUGCCCAGAUGGGAUUAGCUUGUUGGUGGGGUAACGGCUCACCAAGGCGACGAUCCCUAGCUGGUCUGAGAGGAUGACCAGCCACACUGGAACUGAGACACGGUCCAGACUCCUACGGGAGGCAGCAGUGGGGAAUAUUGCACAAUGGGCGCAAGCCUGAUGCAGCCAUGCCGCGUGUAUGAAGAAGGCCCUCGGGUUGUAAAGUACUUUCAGCGGGGAGGAAGGGAGUAAAGUUAAUACCUUUACUCAUUGACGUUACCCGCAGAAGAAGCACCGGCUAACUCCGUGCCAGCAGCCGCGGUAAUACGGAGGGUGCAAGCGUUAAUCGGAAUUACUGGGCGUAAAGCGCACGCAGGCGGUUUGUUAAGUCAGAUGUGAAAUCCCCGGGCUCAACCUGGGAACUGCAUCUGAUACUGGCAAGCUUGAGUCUCGUAGAGGGGGGUAGAAUUCCAGGUGUAGCGGUGAAAUGCGUAGAGAUCUGGAGGAAUACCGGUGGCGAAGGCGGCCCCCUGGACGAAGACUGACGCUCAGGUGCGAAAGCGUGGGGAGCAAACAGGAUUAGAUACCCUGGUAGUCCACGCCGUAAACGAUGUCGACUUGGAGGUUGUGCCCUUGAGACGUGGCUUCCGGAGCUAACGCGUUAAGUCGACCGCCUGGGGAGUACGGCCGCAAGGUUAAAACUCAAAUGAAUUGACGGGGGCCCGCACAAGCGGUGGAGCAUGUGGUUUAAUUCGAUGCAACGCGAAGAACCUUACCUGGUCUUGACAUCCACGGAAGUUUUCAGAGAUGAGAAUGUGCCUUCGGGAACCGUGAGACAGGUGCUGCAUGGCUGUCGUCAGCUCGUGUUGUGAAAUGUUGGGUUAAGUCCCGCAACGAGCGCAACCCUUAUCCUUUGUUGCCAGCGGUCCGGCCGGGAACUCAAAGGAGACUGCCAGUGAUAAACUGGAGGAAGGUGGGGAUGACGUCAAGUCAUCAUGGCCCUUACGACCAGGGCUACACACGUGCUACAAUGGCGCAUACAAAGAGAAGCGACCUCGCGAGAGCAAGCGGACCUCAUAAAGUGCGUCGUAGUCCGGAUUGGAGUCUGCAACUCGACUCCAUGAAGUCGGAAUCGCUAGUAAUCGUGGAUCAGAAUGCCACGGUGAAUACGUUCCCGGGCCUUGUACACACCGCCCGUCACACCAUGGGAGUGGGUUGCAAAAGAAGUAGGUAGCUUAACCUUCGGGAGGGCGCUUACCACUUUGUGAUUCAUGACUGGGGUGAAGUCGUAACAAGGUAACCGUAGGGGAACCUGCGGUUGGAUCACCUCCUUACCUUAAAGAAGC